UCCGGCGCACGAGACAGUGGCCGUUGGGGCUUCUGCAGCAAGCUUCGGGCUGGGGAUGCACCUGCCCUCGGCGGUUGGUGCACGCGCCAUGAACGCGGACACUGGCGCCUCUUCGUCGAGCGCUAGCCUCGGGCUGCGCCUCCCCACGCGGGUUGCUGCGCUUGGGGACGUCUUCGACAACAGGGAGAGCACCUCCACCGACCCCUCGGCGCCCCGUCGCUGGCACAUAGUGCCACGCGCCGUGCUGCAGCACGCCGGCCGUCGGCCGGGACGAUGGAGCCCGGUGAACCUUGGGCUGGCUAAUGGCCACUCCAAUGGAGUUGCUCCCGGGACGCACCUGCCUGGAGGGUCUUCUUCAGAGGAGGAAGAGGAUGCCGCGUCGGGGCCUUCUUCUCCGCAUUGGUGAGGCACCACCGGUGGCGGAGGUUGGUGGUGCUGGUGAAGAAAGCUUGCUGCUCGCGCUGGAUCUGAAUCGGGAUGGAUUUGUGGAUGAGAACGACAUGUCCUGGCUCCCUUAUCCUCCCAUUUUUUCCGGUGCGUAC
rnacentral:lncRNA from 1 species